rnacentral:rRNA from 1 species
GACGAACGCUGGCGGCGUGCUUAACACAUGCAAGUCGAACGGUGAUGACAGGGCUUGCCUUGUCGGAUCAGUGGCGAACGGGUGAGUAACACGUGAGUAACCUGCCCCAGACUCUGGGAUAACCCCGGGAAACCGGAGCUAAUACCGGAUAUGACCCUUGUACGCAUGUGCUGGGGGUGGAAAGUUUUUCGGUCUGGGAUGGGCUCGCGGCCUAUCAGCUUGUUGGUGAGGUAGUGGCUCACCAAGGCGACGACGGGUAGCCGGCCUGAGAGGGCGACCUGCCACACUGGGACUGAGACACGGCCCAGACUCCUACGGGAGGCAGCAGUGGGGAAUAUUGCACAAUGGGCGAAAGCCUGAUGCAGCGACGCCGCGUGAGGGAUGACGGCCUUCGGGUUGUAAACCUCUUUCAGCAGGGAAGAAGCGCAAGUGACGGUACCUGCAGAAGAAGCACCGGCUAACUACGUGCCAGCAGCCGCGGUAACAC